UACAGAGGGUGCAAGCGUUAAUCGGAAUUACUGGGCGUAAAGCGUGCGUAGACGGUUACAUAAGUCGGGUGUGAAAGCCCCGGGCUCAACCUGGGAAUUGCAUUCGAGACUGCGUAGCUAGGGUGCGGAAGAGGGAAGCGGAAUUUCCGGUGUAGCGGUGAAAUGCGUAGAUAUCAUUUGGAACGCCAAUGGUGAAAACAGGUAGCUGGGGUUGUGCUGACGCUGAGACACGAAAGCCAGGGGAGCAAACGGG
rnacentral:rRNA from 1 species